rnacentral:rRNA from 1 species
UUGAACGCUGGCGGCAUGCUUUACACAUGCAAGUCGAACGGUAACAGGCCGCAAGGUGCUGACGAGUGGCGAACGGGUGAGUAAUGCAUCGGAACGUGCCCAGUCGUGGGGGAUAACGCAGCGAAAGCUGUGCUAAUACCGCAUACGAUCUAUGGAUGAAAGCGGGGGACCGUAAGGCCUCGCGCGAUUGGAGCGGCCGAUGUCAGAUUAGGUAGUUGGUGGGGUAAAGGCCCACCAAGCCAACGAUCUGUAGCUGGUCUGAGAGGACGACCAGCCACACUGGAACUGAGACACGGUCCAGACUCCUACGGGAGGCAGCAGUGGGGAAUUUUGGACAAUGGGCGCAAGCCUGAUCCAGCAAUGCCGCGUGCAGGAAGAAGGCCUUCGGGUUGUAAACUGCUUUUGUACGGAGCGAAAAGGCUCUCUCUAAUACAGGGGGCUCAUGACGGUACCGUAAGAAUAAGCACCGGCUAACUACGU